UACGUAGGGUGCUAACGUUGUUCGGAAUCACUGGGCAUAAAGAGCGCGUAGGCGGUCUGAUAAGUCAGGUGUGAAAUCCCCCGGCUCAACCGGGGAACUGCACCUGAUACUGGUGGGCUUGAGUGCAGGAGGGGAGAGCGGAAUUCCUGGUGGAGCGGUGAAAUGCGUAGAUAUCAGGAGGAACGCCGGCGGCGAAAGCGGCUCUCUGGCCUGUUACUGACGCUGAGGCGCGAAAGCGUGGGGAGCGAACAGG
rnacentral:rRNA from 1 species